CAGCAGAUUGAGGAAAAGUCAAAGGAGGAUCACUUACAAUAAAGUUCUACCAAGCUGAAACAAAAGUCAGAAAGCAAUGUGGAGAUUCAUGAUGGGAGAAGAAAGGGAAGAGGUGGAGACAGAGAUGAGGUGGCUCCUUGUAGAGAUAGAU